rnacentral:rRNA from 1 species
UAGCGUGUUGGCGCAACGGGGUGUAUUAUAUAUUCGGAGUCCUCCCCAAGGCGGGGAUACGUUAGAGAAGGUUACCGUAAUCGCAUCCGAUCUAAGAGUAAAGCAGGGACCGCAAGCUUGCUCCUGAGGCGGCGAAUUCUGAUUAGCUAGUGGUGAGGUAAAGCUCACCAAGCGACGAUCAGUAGCUGUCUGAGAGGACGAUCAGCCACACUGAACUGAGACACGGUCCAGACUCCUACGGGAGCAGCAGUGGGGAAUUUUGGACAAUGGGGGCAACCUGAUCCAGCAAUGCCGCGUGAGUGAAGAAGGCCUUCGGGUUGUAAAGCUCUUUGUCAGGGAAGAAAAGGUCGUGGCUAAUAUCACGGCUCAUGACGGUACCUGAAGAAUAAGCACCGGCUAACUACGUGCCAGCAGCCGCGGUAAUACGUAGGGUGCAAGCGUUAAUCGGAAUUACUGGGCGUAAAGCGUGCGCAGGCGGUUUUGUAAGUCUGUUGUGAAAUCCCCGGGCUUAACCUGGGAAUGGCAAUGGAGACUGCAAGGCUAGAGUUUGGCAGAGGGGGGUAGAAUUCCACGUGUAGCAGUGAAAUGCGUAGAGAUGUGGAGGAACACCGAUGGCGAAGGCAGCCCCCUGGGUCAAGACUGACGCUCAUGCACGAAAGCGUGGGGAGCAAACAGGAUUAGAUACCCUGGUAGUCCACGCCCUAAACGAUGUCUACUAGUUGUUGGGUCUUAAUUGACUUAGUAACGCAGCUAACGUGUGAAGUAGACCGCCUGGGGAGUACGGUCGCAAGAUUAAAACUCAAAGGAAUUGACGGGGACCCGCACAAGCGGUGGAUGAUGUGGAUUAAUUCGAUGCAACGCGAAAAACCUUACCUACCCUUGACAUGUCAGGAACCUUGGAGAGAUCUGAGGGUGCCCGAAAGGGAACCUGAACACAGGUGCUGCAUGGCUGUCGUCAGCUCGUGUCGUGAGAUGUUGGGUUAAGUCCCGCAACGAGCGCAACCCUUGUCAUUAGUUGCUACGAAAGAGCACUCUAAUGAGACUGCCGGUGACAAACCGGAGGGAGGUGGGGAUGACGUCAAGUCCUCAUGGCCCUUAUGGGUAGGGCUUCACACGUCAUACAAUGGUACAUACAGAGGGCCGCCAACCCGCGAGGGGGAGCUAAUCCCAGAAAGUGUAUCGUAGUCCGGAUUGUAGUCUGCAACUCGACUGCAUGAAGUUGGAAUCGCUAGUAAUCGCGGAUCAGCAUUCGCGAUGCAC